rnacentral:rRNA from 1 species
GAUGAACGCUGGCGGCGUGCUUAACACAUGCAAGUCGAACGAUUAAACUGGCUUCGGCCAGAUAUAGAGUGGCGAACGGGUGAGUAACACGUGACCAACCUGCCCCGCGCUCCGGGACAACCGCUGGAAACGGCGGCUAAUACCGGAUGCUCCGGGGAGGCCCCAUGGCCUCCCCGGGAAAGCCUUAACGGCGCGGGAUGGGGUCGCGGCCCAUUAGGUAGACGGCGGGGUAACGGCCCACCGUGCCCGCGAUGGGUAGCCGGACUGAGAGGUCGACCGGCCACAUUGGGACUGAGAUACGGCCCAGACUCCUACGGGAGGCAGCAGUGGGGAAUUUUGCGCAAUGGGGGCAACCCUGACGCAGCAACGCCGCGUGCGGGACGAAGGCCUUCGGGUUGUAAACCGCU